AAGCAUAUGAUGUUACAAGGAGAUGCUACUGAGAUGUCAGCCAUCGUUGAAGUAUCUUAAACUGAGCUUUUUAAAACUGAUGCUUG
rfam:Hordeum vulgare subsp. vulgare, WGS project CAJW01000000 data, contig: morex_contig_2123342